rnacentral:rRNA from 1 species
GGGGUAAAGGCCUACCAAGGCGACGAUCCGUAACUGGUCUGAGAGGAUGAUCAGUCACACUGGAACUGAGACACGGUCCAGACUCCUACGGGAGGCAGCAGUGGGGAAUAUUGGACAAUGGGCGAAAGCCUGAUCCAGCCAUGACCAAUGUUUGAAGAAGGUCUUCGGAUUGUAAAGCACUUUAAGUUGGGAGGAAGGGCAGUAAGUUAAUACCUUGCUGUUUUGACGUUACCAACAGAAUAAGCACCGGCUAACUUCGUGCCAGCAGCCGCGGUAAUACGAAGGGUGCAAGCGUUAAUCGGAAUUACUGGGCGU